rnacentral:rRNA from 1 species
UACGGAGGAGGCAAGCGUUAUCCGGAAUUAUUGGGCGUAAAGCGUCCGCAGGUGGCGAUUCAAGUCUGCUGUCAAAGCACGGGGCUUAACUCCGUUAAGGCAGUGGAAACUGAAUAGCUAGAGUGCCGUAGGGGUAGAGGGAAUUCCCGGUGUAGCGGUGAAAUGCGUAGAGAUCGGGAAGAACAUCGGUGGCGAAAGCGCUCUACUGGACGGCAACUGACACUCAGGGACGAAAGCUAGGGGAGCGAAUGGG